rnacentral:rRNA from 1 species
UUAAAUUGAAGAGUUUGAUCAUGGCUCAGAUUGAACGCUGGUGGCAGGCCUAACACAUGCAAGUCGAACGGUAACAGGAAGCAGCUUGCUGCUUCGCUGACGAGUGGCGGACGGGUGAGUAAUGUCUGGGAA